UCCCCAGCUUAGUUCUUCAUUUGAUGCCUAUACUUUCAGGUUCUACCCAAAGAAAGAUACGUAUAAUUUGAGGAGGCAUUUGUGUCUGAUGAUCCAUGUAGUUAUUGUUCAUCUACGUGUGCAACUAGAUUUGCAUUUUGUUUCACGUCUAAAAGAUGCAGUUUAGAUAUCUAGGUAUUCAGUGUAAUCAAUUCAUGCGGACUGCGAUAGUUGCUAGCUAUGUAACCCAACCAGAAGGGCAAAGAAGAUGUGUUCAGUUGGUGGUCCCCUUCGAUAGCGCCAACCAUUUUUGGUUAGGGAUAUAUUUGGUUGUGAGAGAAUCCAUGAAAGAAGGAAAAAGGAAUGUAAAACUGUUCCAUGAAAAUAAAAAUUAAAAAAAAAAGGAGAAAAACCAAACAUCUAGACUCAUUGAUUUACUAUAGAAACAAUUAAAAAUAAUUUUUUGAAAAAAAUAAUUUUCUUAUAAGUAAAAUAUAUUGUUAAAGCUUAUCAUGUCCUGCUCUCAUGCAAUUCUUGGCUGAAUUUCUUUCUAUUCUAGUUCUAAAAAACUAAAAAAAGAAAUAACAA
rnacentral:lncRNA from 1 species